GACGAACGCUGGCGGCGUGCUUAACACAUGCAAGUCGAACGGAAAGACCCUGCUCUUGCGGGGCGCUCGAGUGGCGAACGGGUGAGUAACACGCGAGUAACCCGCCCCUGACUUUGGGAUAACACCUGGAAACUGGGGCUAAUACCCGAUAGGAGCUCCUGCAGCACGGUGGUGGUUGGAAAGAUUCGGCGGUUGGGGAUGGACUCGCGGCUUAUCGGCUUGUUGGUGGGGUAGUGGCUUACAAAGGCUUUGACGGGUAGCCGGCCUGAGAGGGUGACCGGGCACAUUGGUACUGAGGUACGGCGCAGUCGCCUACGGGAGGCAGCAGUGGGGAAUUUUGCGCAGUGGGCGGAAGCCUGAUGCAGCGGCGCCGCGUGCGGGAUAACGUCCUUCGGGUGGUGAACCGCUGUCGCCGUUGACGAAGCGGGAGUGACGGUAAUGGAUAAGGAAGCACCGGCUAACUACGUG
rnacentral:rRNA from 1 species